UACGUAGGGUGCAAGCGUUGUCCGGAAUUAUUGGGCGUAAAGAGCUUGUAGGCGGUUUGUCGCGUCUGCUGUGAAAUUUCGGGGCUCAACCCCGAACUUGCAGUGGGUACGGGCAGACUAGAGUGUGGUAGGGGAGACUGGAAUUCCUGGUGUAGCGGUGAAAUGCGCAGAUAUCAGGAGGAACACCGAUGGCGAAGGCAGGUCUCGUGGGCCAUAACUGACGCUGAGAAGCGAAAGCAUGGGGAGCGAACAGG
rnacentral:rRNA from 1 species